GAGAGCCGUGUUAUGGGUGACCUUAUUGCACGGUUCAGAGAGCACUUGUGUAUGUGAUGCAAGUGAACGUCUACGAAAAGCUGUCGUAAAGUUUCGUUCUUCGUUCUGUCGUUGACCCUAU
rfam:Nicotiana sylvestris Nsyl_contig128593, whole genome shotgun sequence.